GGAAGUAAAAGUUGUAACAAGGUUUCCGUAGGUGAACCUGCGGAAGGAUCAUUAUUGUAUAACCGAGGUGCGAGGGCUGUCGCUGACCCGAAAGGUCGUGCACGCCCGAGUGCCCUCACACACAUCCAUCUCACCCCUAUGUGCACCACCGCGUGGGUCCCCCUUUGGCUUGUUCGGAGGGGGGCUUACGUUUUCACACAAACUUUGUAUGCAGUGUAGAAUGUAUUUUUUGUUUUUGCGAUCACGCAAUCAAUACAACUUUCAACAACGGAUCUCUUGGCUCUC
rnacentral:misc_RNA from 1 species